rnacentral:rRNA from 1 species
UACGUAGGCAGCAAGCGUUGUUCGGAGUUACUGGGCGUAAAGGGUGUGUAGGCGGUUGGGUAAGUGUGGUGUGAAAUCUCCCGGCUCAACUGGGAGGGUGCGCUACAAACUGUCUGACUAGAGUGUGGGAUGGGAAAGUGGAAUUCCUGGUGUAGCGGUGAAAUGCGUAGAUAUCUGGAAGAACACCAAUGGCGAAGGCAAUGUUCUGGCUCGUUUCUGACGCUCAGGUGCGAAAGCCAGGGGAGCGAGCGGG